UACGUAGGUGGCAAGCGUUGUCCGGAAUUAUUGGGCGUAAAGCGCGCGUAGGCGGCUACUUAAGUCGGAUGUGAAAGCCCUUGGCUCAACUGAGGAAGUGCACCCGAAACUGAGUGGCUUGAGUACUAAAGAGGGUCGCGGAAUUCCCGGUGUAGAGGUGAAAUUCGUAGAUAUCGGGAGGAACACCGGUGGCGAAGGCGGCGACCUGGGUAGAUACUGACGCUGAGGCGCGAAAGCGUGGGGAGCAAACAGG
rnacentral:rRNA from 1 species